rnacentral:rRNA from 1 species
AACGAACGCUGGCGGCAGGCUUAACACAUGCAAGUCGAGCGCCCCGCAAGGGGAGCGGCAGACGGGUGAGUAACACGUGGGAAUCUACCCAUCCCUGCGGAACAACUCCGGGAAACUGGAGCUAAUACCGCAUACGCCCUACGGGGGAAAGAUUUAUCGGGGAUGGAUGAGCCCGCGUUGGAUUAGCUAGUUGGUGGGGUAAAGGCCUACCAAGGCGACGAUCCAUAGCUGGUCUGAGAGGAUGAUCAGCCACAUUGGGACUGAGACACGGCCCAAACUCCUACGGGAGGCAGCAGUGGGGAAUAUUGGACAAUGGGCGCAAGCCUGAUCCAGCCAUGCCGCGUGAGUGAUGAAGGCCUUAGGGUUGUAAAGCUCUUUCACCGAUGAAGAUAAUGACGGUAGUCGGAGAGGAAGCCCCGGCUAACUUCGUGCCAGCCGCCGCCGUAAUAC